rnacentral:rRNA from 1 species
AGAGUUUGAUCCUGGCUCAGGACGAACGCUGGCGGCGUGCUUAACACAUGCAAGUCGAACGGUGACSAGGGGCUUGCUCCUCUGAUCAGUGGCGAACGGGUGAGUAACACGUGAGUAACCUGCCCUUCACUCUGGGAUAACACCGGGAAACCGGUGCUAAUACUGGAUACGACCUGAACAGGCAUCUGUAUCGGGUGGAAAGAUUUAUUGGUGGAGGAUGGACUCGCGGCCUAUCAGCUUGUUGGUGAGGUAAUGGCUCACCAAGGCGACGACGGGUAGCCGGCCUGAGAGGGCGAUCGGCCACACUGGGACUGAGACACGGCCCAGACUCCUACGGGAGGCAGCAGUGGGGAAUAUUGCACAAUGGGCGAAAGCCUGAUGCAGCGACGCCGCGUGAGGGAUGAAGGCCUUCGGGUUGUAAACCUCUUUCAGCAGGGAAGAAGCGAAAGUGACGGUACCUGCAGAAGAAGCACCGGCUAACUACGUGCCAGCAGCCGCGGUAAUACGUAGGGUGCAAGCGUUGUCCGGAAUUAUUGGGCGUAAAGAGCUUGUAGGCGGUUUGUCGCGUCUGCUGUGAAAUUUCGGGGCUCAACCCCGAACUUGCAGUGGGUACGGGCAGACUAGAGUGUGGUAGGGGAGACUGGAAUUCCUGGUGUAGCGGUGAAAUGCGCAGAUAUCAGGAGGAACACCGAUGGCGAAGGCAGGUCUCUGGGNCNCUACUGACGCUGAGAAGCGAAAGCAUGGGGAGCGAACAGGAUUAGAUACCCUGGUAGUCCAUGCCGUAAAC